rnacentral:rRNA from 1 species
AAGCAGCUUGCUGCUUCGCUGACGAGUGCGGACGGGUGAGUAAUGCCUGGGAAACUGCCUGAUGAGGGGGAUAACCACUGGAAACGGUGGCUAAUACCGCAUAACGUCUUCGGACCAAAGUGGGGGACCUUCGGGCCUCACACCAUCGGAUGUGCCCAGAUGGGAUUAGCUAGUAGGCGGGGUAAUGGCCCACCUAGGCGACGAUCCCUAGCUGGUCUGAGAGGAUGACCAGCCACACUGGAACUGAGACACGGUCCAGACUCC